AGAACCUGACAAUGGACAAAGAGACAUCUUGUUGAUGGUGUUAUUCUUAUAUCAGUUAGAAACAAAGCAGUUGUUAGUCUUUUGCUCAUCCUAGCUUAAUGUCUAAUUUGAUGGCCAAAGCAGUUCUAUGUCUAGGAACACAUAA